UUGUUUGACUGUCGAGCAUUCUUGCUUAGCUUAUUUGCUCUGCGUCUUGUUUUAAAGACAAUGAAGAUAUGAAAGGAAGACUUGAGGAGCCACUGAUCGUCUGAGUCCGGUUAAUGUCAUACACCAUGGUCAGUCCCGGAUCAGUCCUGACCUGUAUUCUGCUGCCUUUAUUGCACUUAAAACUUGAUCACCUGGACUGGAUCCAGCUGCAAACUCAGCCGGCAGUAAGGAAGUCGGAAGAAAUGGACUUUGAUUGCUCUGUGUUGGAAGCUUGUAAAAGUCUCUAACACACAAGCAUGCGUUUUAUACACUGUGUGUGGUGGGAAAGGAAAGAGCAACUGAUUGGAUGAAACCCAUUGAAAGGAAAAUAAGAAGUGGAAGUGUGUGUGUUAUGGAUCAUCUGUUUUCAGGUUUUGAGUUGGUCUUCAUCUUCAUUGCCUUCACAAUCAUGUGCUUAUUUGGCCUGGCUGCCAUCUACACAUAUAAUACAGAUCAUCAAGGUGAUUAAAUUCAGACAGAGGAGAUCACAUAACAACUCCAAGAAAAUGUCCUGCCUAAACAGGCGUGGCUCACCAAAAGAUGUUAACCACUGGACAAAAGUGAAAUCUGAAAUCACAUACAUGCACCUGGUUUAUAGUAGGUGAAAAAACAGUAUGUGACAAAAAAGAAGAAGCAAGCCUGAAUUUAAAAAGUGGGAAAAGGGUAUAAGGAUGACAACAUGGCAACUAAAUGUCCAGAUUAUAUUUAUAUUACACUGUAUUGGCACUCUAUAAUUGCCACUGAUUAAACACCCAGCCUCAGGUGAUGCCAGAUUGUAGUUUUGGAGACUGUUUGAACCCAAGACUUGGAGAUUCUUGGCCACUUGAACCAUUGUCUUAUGACAGUAGCUGGGUUUCCCUCACCCUGUGUCAACGCACACUUUGAAAGAGCAAUGGAAAUGCCGAUUUUUUUAAGAAAAAAUCCCUUAGUUAGCAAACAACGUUUUUAUAAACACACUUGAGCUGGUUUUGGACUUGUGUGAAAAAGGUUUAAUGCUAAUAAUGAGAAAUGGAAACUCGUUUUCAGAAUAUGCUGAUGUAGCGAACAUUAAACCCACAUGAUACCAUUAUGCUUGCCUUGUUUACUGUUAGUUUCUAGGUUACCAAUACCACAGACGGUUGCUCUAAAAACCUGAUGGAAAUGCACCUAAUUCAGAUUUGGGUUUUUUUUAAUGAAAUUUGAAAAGAUUCGCUUUAUGUUAGGAUGGAAACCCAGCUAUAGUGAUAAAGUGAUUCAACUGAUUCAUAUGCCUAGGAGUUGAGUGUAAUUUGUUAACGAUUUCUCUAAUGUCAGAAACUCUUGUAUGUCGAGGCAUUUUCUGUGUUAUUGUUAUUUUUAUAAGAGCCACUUCCUAUUUUGUAAAGCUCAGCAACACUUUUGCUGUAAAUCACAGUUCUGUUCUUUAGUUCUUCCCCAUUGAGAUGAAUGACUGAGUGAGUCUGGCCUUUGUGUUACCUCAUAUUUAUAGCUCUGUGAAACAGGAGGUCGUGAAUCUAGUCACCCAUGUGUAAAAAUAGGAAAGAAAAAUAUCAAUGUGGAUGUACCUUAAAAAAUGCUCAUAUAAAUUCAUAGGAGUGUCAAUAAUAGUGGCACACAUACAUUUAACAGACAUGUUUGUUUUUCAUAAAACAAAUGGAUCAAUUUUAUGUUAUUAUUAUAAGCAAAAACAGAUCAAAAGGCUAAACAACAAAGCCAUUUUCACAGCCUUUUUUGCUCAUAUUUCAUCUUAAGGGUGCCAAUAUUAGUGUAACGCACUGUAGAAUGCACAUUUAAAUGGUUGCCAAGUAAUUACUUAAUCUCCUCAAGAGAGCAUGUGAUUUUGGAGACAGCCAGCCUGUGUAUCUGAAGAUCUCUGAGACUGAGAUUUCCCUCAGCUGUCUCUGAUUGGCUUGAAUGUAUGACCCCGAUAGGUAAUUAACCAGUGAAAGAAACGUAAAGAGGAUUUAUUGAAACUGAAACCCCUCCUCUUUCCCCUCUUAAAGCUGCUUUCAUUUGUAAUGUAAUUUAAAACCUGUUGGGAGUUCUUAUGUUACCUGUUCCUACGCUUUGGAAGGCAGACUUUUGGUGGUGGAAGUCUUUGGCUACAUAAAUAGGAAAAUGUGUAUUACUCAAUGUAUUUUGUAAAAUUAUUUUAACUGUAUAUACACAAUUUAUUUCUAUUAUGUAAUAUUGUAAUAUUUAUAUAAUGCUUUGGCUGUUUUGUAUUUAUUUUUCCACAUAUAGCUUUGUCACUUUUAUACGUUAAAAUAAUAUAACAGUAAUCAAAAAUGGUUGCUUUCUUUGUUUAUUGUCUAUUUUAUUUUUUCAAGGGAACAAUUUAUUUCAAAAUGUAAAUGUAUUUUGUUUAUUAAAAUGUGAAAUAAAUGUCUUGAUGUGUCUUAAAAUGUCUUUAAUCAGUGUAAUAGUGAGCUAUAUGUAAAGAUUAACCAGCAAAUUUACUUCUGUACUUAUUCACAUGUAUAAAAGGAUGGAUCAUAUCAUAUAUUAUUAAAUACAAUUUAAAUGAUUAAAGUUUUGUUCUAAAAACAAGAUAUUUUGGUAAGCUAUUCAAAUUCUUACACUGAAUGAACUGUUAGUGGGUGUUUUCAAUAAAUCAUUUUAAAAAUGUAUGAUAGUACUUGUUUUCUAGACAUAGUCAUAUGUAUCUAGCCAAUUGAAGCUCUAAUACAGUAUUUAUUGUUUAUAUUUUGACCCAUUGAUAUAUGCAUUUUAAAAUAUAUACAAAAACUGCCAAAAAUCUAUUUAUAUUCAACCAUGUUGUCUUCAACUUAUAU